rnacentral:rRNA from 1 species
AUUGAACGCUGGCGGCAUGCCUAACACAUGCAAGUCGCACGCGAAAGGGGGCAACCCUGAGUAGAGUGGCGGACGGGUGAGUAACGCGUAGGAAUCUACCUGGUAGUGGGGGACAACCCGGUGAAAACCGGGCUAAUACCGCAUACGAUCCACGGAUGAAAGCAGGGGAACGCAAGGCCUUGCGCUAUCAGAUGAGCCUGCGUCGGAUUAGCUAGUUGGUGGGGUAAAGGACCACCAAGGCGACGAUCCGUAGCUGGUUUGAGAGAACGACCAGCCACACUGGGACUGAGACACGGCCCAGACUCCUACGGGAGGCAGCAGUGGGGAAUAUUGGACAAUGGGGGCAACCCUGAUCCAGCGAUGCCGCGUGUGUGAAGAAGGCCUUCGGGUUGUAAAGCACUUUCGGUGGGGACAAACAAGGUGGAGCUAACGUCUCCGCCUCUGAUGGUACCCAAAGAAGAAGCACCGGCUAACUCUGUGCCAGCCGCCGCAGUAA